UACAGAGGGGGCAAGCGUUAUUCGGAAUUAUUGGGCGUAAAGGGCGCGUAGGCGGUCGUGCAAGUGGAAGGUGAAAUCCCUCGGCUCAACCGAGGAACUGCCUUUCAAACUGCAUGACUUGAGUCCGGGAGAGGUGAGUGGAAUUCCCAGUGUAGCGGUGAAAUGCGUAGAUAUUGGGAGGAACACCAGUGGCGAAGGCGGCUCACUGGACCGGAACUGACGCUGAGGCGCGAAAGCUAGGGGAGCAAACAGGG
rnacentral:rRNA from 1 species